UCUGUUGCCAUCGACACAAACAGAAGUCCUAGGUGUGGAGGCAUGGCAGAGCUGUCAGAACACCUGGGGUCGACAUCCGACACUCUGUGUGAUUUUGGACAAGUUCCCACUCCUCUCGGAGCUGGUUCCUCAUCUGAAAAAUGAGGUUGCAAUACCUACCUCUGAGAUGGGGAGGGGAUCGAAUAAAAUAAGAGGUGUCAUAGCCCCGAGGAAGCGAGAAGUAAUUCCUUCAACAGCUACUCAGGAAGCACCUGGCACUGUUGCUGUCAAACAGGACGAAAAAAGGACCCGCCCUCUUGGAGUUUCCAUUCGAAGGGGGCAUUUGCACUGGAGUUAUUUGCCGGACCAGCUCUUCCUGAAGGAGCCUGUCUCUAUUUGUGAAACCACCAAGUUCCCCAUCACGUCAGAACCUCAGGAUCGUCUCUGACAGGUACCCAACUCCCUGCCACUCACUGCUCUCCCUCUUCUCCUUCCUCUGCACCCACCUAGGUCAGGGGGUGGCUUCUGCCAGUCCCUCUCCUUCUCUGGCUCUGCUUCCUCCUAACAUAAGGAACUGGGGUUAGGGAGAGGGAUUUCCAGGAACUUCCAAGUGGUCAUCAAUGAUUGAAUGGUUUGUUACUCCUUCGUAGAGUGGACUCCUCCCUUGCAUGGUGAGGUGAUGGCUGGGCAAGAUGAACCCACACACCCAGGAGGACCUUUUGAGAUUACCAGGAUGGCCAGGGUAGGCGAAGCCAAGAAGUUCCUUUAUGAUCUGACCUUUUUGGUUCCUGCUUCUUGCCCAGUGCAGCCAUGGUAAAUACAUCUUCAUCAGGGCCUGGUCACUCAGCGAACCAGCCCUGGUCAGCAGCCUACAGAGGCCCCACCCUGCGCCAGCCCUUGGGGCAGACAUGCCCUGGGGGUGCUCAAGAUCUAACAGAGGUGUGAGGCUGAAACAGGUGAAAUAAGGAGGGGCAAACAAGUAUGCAAGGAAUUGUUUAAAUAGCAAGGCGGUUGGCUGGACUGAGCUCCUCGUGAAAGGAUGGGCAUAUUAAAUGGAUCCAAGGUCUAGUCUAUGACCAAGAUCAGAACUCAGUCUGGGGCUGGGUUUAUGCCUCAAUAUAUGGCCAGGAUCAGACCUCAGGCUGGGACCAAGGUUAGGGCUCAGAUUGUGACCAAGAUCAAGGCUCAGACUAUGACCAAGAUUAGGGCUCGGUCUGUGGCCAAGAUUACAGUCCAAAUGAGACCUGAGGUCCAAGGCCAUUCUCUGGCCAGAGCGAGGCUAAACUGUGGUCAGGAUCAUGGCUCAGUUU
rnacentral:lncRNA from 1 species